rnacentral:lncRNA from 7 species
AACUUUUUGUUUUUGUUUUUUGGCGACCUUUUCACUUUCACCCUAGCAUUCCAACAGUAAUUGUAAAUGUCGGAAACAGCUUACAGAGAAAAUUGUGCUGCCUUAAAAAUAAAAUGUUUCAUCUUGAGAAGAAAAUUAUUCUUCCUUCACAUAAAAAAAUGUUCUAGUUCAGUGAAAAAGUAUUCUAUCUUCGUGAAACUAUAGCUUCGCCAGAAUAUUGUUGCGGCUCUAGUGCUUAGACUCUACGAUC